UUGAACGCCGGCGGCAUGCCUUACACAUGCAAGUCGAACGGCAGCACGGGGCGAACCUGGUGGCGAGUGGCGAACGGGUGAGUAAUGCAUCGGAACGUGCCAUUGAGUGGGGGAUAACGUAGCGAAAGUUGCGCUAAUACCGCAUAUUCUGUGAGCAGGAAAGCAGGGGACCGCAAGGCCUUGCGCUCUUUGAGCGGCCGAUGUCAGAUUAGCUAGUUGGUGAGGUAACGGCUUACCAAGGCGACGAUCUGUAGCGGGGUCUGAGAGGAUGAUCCGCCACACUGGAACUGAGACACGGUCCAGACUCCUACGGGAGGCAGCAGUGGGGAAUUUUGGACAAUGGGCGCAAGCCUGAUCCAGCCAUGCCGCGUGAGUGAAGAAGGCCUUCGGGUUGUAAAGCUCUUUCGGCCGGGAAGAAAUCGCAUGGGUUAAUACCCUGUGUGGAUGACGGUACCGGAAUAAGAAGCACCGGCUAACUACGUG
rnacentral:rRNA from 1 species